AGUCGUAACAAGGUAUCCGUAGGUGAACCUGCGGAUGGAUCAUUACCAAAGAUCCCAUCCACGUACUGUGAACUGUUUUGACUGACGGUCAGCGGGAGCUCUAGCUGGGUGUGCCUAGGCGCACUCCGGCUAAUGUAACCGCUGCCCGUAUCAACCAACGUAUAAUACCCAAACUGACGUCUCUUUAGUACAUACUAACUAAAGACAACUUUUAGCAACGGAUCUCUAGGCUCUU
rnacentral:misc_RNA from 1 species